UACUAUCCGUGUACUGAAAGACCCCCGUGGGGAGACCCCCCAUCAAGUCUCGGGAUGGUGCGCACCCAAGGAAACACGAAAGACC
rnacentral:pre_miRNA from 7 species